AGUAACGCGUGAGUAACCUGCCUUUCAGAGGGGGAGUAACGUUCUGAAAAGAACGCUAAUACCGCAUGAGACUACAGAGCUGCAUGGCUCAGUGGUCAAAGGAGCAAUCCGCUGAAAGAUGGACUCGCGUCCGAUUAGAUAGUAGGCGGGGUAACGGCCCACCUAGUCGACGAUCGGUAGCCGGACUGAGAGGUCGAACGGCCACAUUGGGACUGAGACACGGCCCAGACUCCUACGGGAGGCAGCAUG
rnacentral:rRNA from 1 species